rnacentral:ncRNA from 1 species
CUCUCUGGAGAGUCUCCGCAGGGAGCGCCGAAGGUGUAAGGCCGGCAUGCCAUGUCAAGGGCAGGCCGCUGAUCUCUCAGGCAAAAGGACAGGGCA